GCUGGGCAUGGUGGUGCACGCCUGUAAUUCCAGCAGCGUAGGAGGCUGAGGCAGGAGGAUCAUGAAUUCAAAGCCAGCUUUAGCAAUUUAGCGAGGGCCUGAGCAACUCAGCAAGAUCCUGUCUCUA
rnacentral:sRNA from 1 species